rnacentral:lncRNA from 1 species
UCUGAACAACCUUCUGGGGACAAUCAGAAUGUCAACCUGAAUGCAGAAUAUAUUGAACUUGACGAGGAUAUUGAUGUGGUUGAAGCUAACGGAUCAGGGAACAGGGCUUCACAACCUGGCAGACCUUUCCAAGAGACUAGUGUUAGAACAGGUUCUUCUGUUGAUGCAUCCUGCAAGAGGAAGGCUAUUGAAGGCAGUAGUAGUGGUCAGUCUUCUUUAGGUGGUUACCAUCACGGAGAAAGCAGCAGUUCGUGGACCCCAGUUUCUACCGAGUAUAGGUCAGUAAAUGGUCUAAACAUAUCUGGAUCUCGAGGAGAGGUCUCUGCUACUGCUUCAAAUUUUCUUGUAAGCUCAAGUAGAAAUACAUGUGUCAGGAGUAAUCCCUCUGAAACUGUAAGCCCAGCUGCCUUUUCUGCGGGAACUGUUGUCAGGCGACCUGUCCCUCCACCGCACUCUAACUUAUCAAGACUUGUACCAUCAGAUCAUCAUGGACAAUCCCUAGGAAAUAUCUUCUCACGGAACCCAAAUCCUCCUGCACCUGUUUCAAGGAAUAUGCUACCACCAUUUCAGUGGACUGAGAGCUCACUAGCGGGUGAAUCAUUCAACUCCACCGUGCCCACUGAGAGAAAUAAUCUUCAUCUAGAAGACACCAGGUCAAGAAGCAUAACAGCAGCGAGUGUUCUAGAGAAUCCCUUGUUUAAUCCAGCUCCUGACCUCAGCAGAAAUGCUAACCUGAGUAUUGCAUCAUCAUCAUCAGUGUCCAGGACAGGCUCAAGCACAGGUGUUCAAGCACCAUCUUCUAAUCUAGCGUGGACGCCUCACCGGAAUUUACCACCUCACCAAAGAAGAAGAUCGGAACUUGCCCAUAGGUCAUUGAUUUCUUCCCUUUCUGCAGAUGCGAGAUCUGGUGAUCAUCAUCCACCACUUCGUUCGUUGGCUCCUCCUGCCCCUCAGGAUGGGCUUGUGCUUCAGCCUGGUGGUGGUGAUAGUAGCCGGGCAUACUCGAGAGCAGGUCUGUGGCUUGAUAGACAAGUGGAUAGUUUGGUUGGGGCUCCUCAAUCUUUAAGGGCUUUGGCAGCUGCAAGCAGAGGAAGAAACAGACUUAUGGUAUCCCAGGUCAGUUCAUACAAGUUCGGUUAACCUUGAUGGUUUUUGUUAGACUGACAGUGAGUCUCUUUGAAACAGAUGCAGAAUAUCUUGGAAGUGAUGCGGAGGGAUCCGAAUCAUAACUUGCGGCUUGAGGUUAGUUUCUCCUUGGGGCGGGCUCAGUAGAAUAAACAGUGUUCUAAAAUUACAAGUGAACUUGUCUUCUCUCUGUCUCUGUUGAACUUUAAAAAGUAAUGUGAAUUGCUUGAUUGUCCAGGACGUUAUGCUUCUGAAACCUUAAUUAAAAAAUUAGUAAACAAAAAUAAUGGUAAUUAUAUAUGAUAUUUUUAAUUAAAUAAAAGUGCUUUGUAAUUUUAUUUUGUAAAAAUUAACUAAAAACGACACAUAGGAAAACCUAAGUAUCAAUAUUUACUUGUUCUUGGUACUGAAAACGUUGGUGAGGAACUGAGGAUGUAUGUGGAAUCACUGGAGAAGAAGAUGCCUAAGUCAAUUAGUGGUCAUGAAAUAUAUUGAGUGGUUGUCGACUGGGUUGUGUUAACAAACACAUAGAAAACUUAAUUAAUGGGCCUUCGAGUGAAUAUAUUUUUUUGUUCUUAGUGGCAAGAAUAUUUUGUUGAAGUAUCAAUAUUUGAUUGGCCUGACUUUUCUUUAAUUGUUACUAUCUAAGUUCCAAUUUUUGAUAUUUUUAUAUAACAGAAAUUACAAAAGUCUGUAUUGUGAGUUUCAACUAUUCACAUCCAUAGGACCAUAUAACAUGAUGUUUCACGGACUAAACAUUACCAACAUAUUUAUUUUACUAUAUACUUUGCUAUAUAUAUAUUUAUCAAACAUUUUUAUAUUCCAAAAUAAAAGAGCGAAAUUACAUUUAUUUUCAUAAUUAAAAAAUAUUGCGUAUGAAAUAUGUUUUAGUAUUUACAUAAUUUCAAACACAAAAAAAUUACUUCUAUAGUUUUCAUUAAUUGUGUUUGGGUUUAUAGAAUUAAAACCAAAAAUUCAUUAUGAUUUUUUCCAUAAAUGAAAUAAAAAUAUGCAUGACCAGAAUGAAAUUGCCACUUGAAGUUGUUUCUUUUUUUUUUUUUUGAAACACGGAAUUGUGUCUAAAAAAUCAAGUUAUGUAGGGGGUGUGAACCUGAUCAUUUGUAUUUUAGGCUAAAAAAAAUUAUAUAAAGAAUAAAUAAAAUUGAUUGCGAAUUAUUUAUAACAUGAUACACUUUCUACAAAACGUUUUUUUUAUAGAUUUUGUUUUUUAAUUUUAAAUUCAUAAGCUGAUAAUCAGUGCCGGUCAUAAAAAUUUAAGACCAAGUUUGUAAACUUGAGAUUUUACCAUUAGACCUAAAAAAACGAUUGAAAAUAUGUGGCCGAAAAUAUAUUUAUUGUGAAGCGGCCAAAAACCACUGAUUUCUUUGUUUAAGUCCAAGGGCCGGCUCUGCUGAUAAUCUCUGGGAGUAGAAAAUUUAAGUAAAUAAUAUUUCUAAUGAACAAAUGUCAUCUUGUGUUUAUUUUUAGUUGAGAAUCUAAUGAAAUUAAAGAAAAAAGAAAGGCAAGGAUAUGAAAAGAUAAGCAAUCAGAAAGCACACCAAAUGACCAAAGUUACAUGGUAACAAAAGGAAAGAAACCAAAUCUGUUGGUUUAGUUUGGUUCGGUUUAGUUAAAUUCAAAAAACAAAGAGAGGAAAAUUGAAAAACGAGGGACGUGUGAAGAAGCAAAGGCUAAGAACUUGCCAGCUUGCUGCUGUCUCCUCUUCAAACAAUUUAAUUUAUAGUAUAAAAAAAUUUUUAAUAAGUUUUUUUGUUGGUAUUCGUUGAUUAAGGCUAAGCUUAUUGAAUUCUCCUCUUUGGAAACUGCUCUUAUGACUGACCAUUUUGCUUUCUUUCUUUCUUUAUUUUUCCUUUUCAUAAAAAAAUAUACAUUUUUAAGUUUUCCUAACGUGAAUUAAAACAUUGCCGUCUCUUCCUCUGCCUAAUAAUCAAUCCUCCCUUCCUCUUCUCUCUCUGCAACAAAGCGGUACGUUCUCUCUCUCUCUUCCUCAAGUUUUGUUCUUUCUUCUCAUCCCAAGAUUAAUUUAGAUCGGUUAUGUUUUUCUAUUUUCUUUUUAUUGUUGGGUUUUGAUUUUGUCAUAUCUGGGACUUAUCAUUCGGAAUUGAGAAGAAUCUCUGUUGAAACCGAUUGUUCUAAAGUUGGCUCCUUUAUGUAUAGAUCUCUAAUCAACUUUUGUUUGUUUUGAUAGAAAGCUCUCUUCUUUACCCUUUAUUGAUGAUAUCUUCAUCUUCUGAUUCUGUCUUGUGGGUUGUUUGCCUGACCGACCGACCACCAUGCCUUUAUCUUCCUUCAAGCUGUUUGCUAGCUCUUGGGACUUUGUGACACUUAACUUCCUUUGCUUGUUGUUUUGUCAACCUCUGUCUCUAGGUGUCAAAUUGAUACUUCAUUCACCUCUUAUGAAGUCAUAUGUCAUCUGUUAUGAAUUGUGUUUUACUUGGCCAACUAAUCUAUGAGUCAGUGAGUUGUUUUAAGCUAUUGUGUGAUUUUAUUUGUAAUUACAGUUCUAGGAACUAUGUUUUCAUUGAGAGCAUUUGAGUGUGUUUAUGAGUUUCUUCCUUUUUCAUUCACAAUUUAACUUUUCUUUGUUACUGAAUGAUUUAUACUGUCUUUGUUCUUUUUUUCAGUCUCCACGUUAGGCAGGCACAUUGCUAGAGGAGCAAAGAAAGUCUCGCGAGUCCUCCUCUUCUCCCAAGUGUAACUGUGGUUAAACUUUAGCCGAGAUGCAGGGAGAGAGGGCCAGUCUCGGCUAUUUAUCAGAGGGCUUAAACUUUGAGCAUGGUUCCACCUCCAGUAAUGGUUUGAUGGAUCACUGGGACGGUCUUGGUGAUAACGACUUGCAGGACUACAUGAUUGCAAAUUCUGAAUCUCUCGCUCACUCGGUUUACCCUGAACAACAUAGGUUUAGCCUCGGCGAGGAGGCUAGCUCUAGUGGCACGAAGAAUGAAGCUUCCGGUCACAAUGAGCAACUAAGAAAUGAAAUAAUUGAUUUAGACUCAGAUUCUGAACAACCUUCUGGGGACAAUCAGAAUGUCAACCUGAAUGCAGAAUAUAUUGAACUUGACGAGGAUAUUGAUGUGGUUGAAGCUAACGGAUCAGGGAACAGGGCUUCACAACCUGGCAGACCUUUCCAAGAGACUAGUGUUAGAACAGGUUCUUCUGUUGAUGCAUCCUGCAAGAGGAAGGCUAUUGAAGGCAGUAGUAGUGGUCAGUCUUCUUUAGGUGGUUACCAUCACGGAGAAAGCAGCAGU